GUUCACUUUUUGCUCCCUGCUCUCUCUACUGUGAUUUCAACUGAAAUUUUUGAUCCUAUGCGACAUGGUUACUCACUACAUCCGUGGAAUUUGGCAUACCAUUCAGCCCUAAACCUGUGUUUCACUGAAGGAGCAGUGAAGUUUGACACUGGCAUUUCUGUUGUUGCUGACAGUGAUGAUGUGCUUCUCUCUUAAGCCUGAAAGUUACACCCAAGACCUUGAUCAUGAAGAUAAUGAGCAGACUGACAACAAUCAAGGUAUUGCCAAGUAAAACAAUGACCAUAACAGUGUCUCUAACUGGGUACUGAAAGAUCUUAUAGCAGACACCUGGUUCAAGAGCUGAGGGCCAACUGAAAACAUAGGGAACCUGUAACUAUGAGUCAACCAUCUUACCUCAUAAACAGUGAGCAGCUCUACAGACCCUGGAGUACGUCUACAUGGCACCUGGCUGUAUGACAGCAUUGCCUCUUGAGGUUAUGCCCAUCACAUCUUGUCAAAAGCUGCCCUGUCAAUGCAGAUACUUGAUAAGUGAUGGAAUAACUAUACAUGUGGACUUCAAAGGAGGUGCUAUGGGAGGAGCAGCUCUUUUAGAACAAGAACCCAUGUGCAAAAUCCUGUUACAUCUGAAGAGCAGCCAAAGAAGCCUCUCACCAAUGAUAUAA
ensembl:lncRNA